UAUGCUUGAUUCCAAUUUGCUCGCCUUCUUCUACUUGUGAUGUUUUGCUUGGCCCCUGGCUAGGUGCUGAUAUGCUCUGCUCCCCCGUGGUGCUCGUGCUCUUUCCAUCACAGAUAGGCUCCUUACUUUACUCAGCUUUGUUAUGGCCGAAGUUGAUGAGAAAUUCUGGUAAUGAAAAUUUUUCUUCUUUGAUGAGAAAUUACUGUUUAAUUAAUUAUGAUCCUAUUAAAUCACUGCAAUGUUUAAUUGUUAUUGUGUAUUCGCCGGCCUGUGCUUUAAUCACUAAAUGAUGUCAAUUUUAGGGCUUGGAAUUUAAUUAUUGUUGGUGGAAUCUCAAUUUAAGGAACUUAACAUUAGAUUCAUAGUUAUUGUAUGUGUUGGAGUUGGCUGAGAAAGCUUCCGGUUUAAUCAAUUUACUGCUAGGUUUUUCACAAUGCUUCCAGUUACCUUCACUUUUUCUUUUUCUCUGCUUAAUUGAACUUACUUCUUCAGGGAGGAGGAAGAGGUUGAUAGAUUCAGCAAAGUUCAAGAGAGUUUCUUGACAAGUUCUUCAACUCUCAGUAUACUUGAAUUCAUGCUGUGGUUAAUAACCUGGAAGAUGCUCAUGAGAUGCUUUACACUGCAAUCUCAACCGCACUGAAAGAAAGCAAACCUGUUUAUAUCAGCAUCAGCUGUAACUUGGCUGCAAUUCCUCACCCCACUUUCAGUAGGGAGCCAGUUCUAUUUUUGUUGUCUCCAAA